GCCUUGCUAGUUCAAUCGGUAGAGCGUGAGACUCUUACUUGCAGUCCUUAGCGGGAUGAAUUAUUAUCUCAAGGUUGGGGGUUUGACCCCCCCGUAGGGCU
rfam:Sphaerobolus stellatus SS14 unplaced genomic scaffold SPHSTscaffold_17, whole genome shotgun sequence.